rnacentral:lncRNA from 1 species
GCUAAUCAUCCCCUACACUAGCUUUAUGAGCAGCCGAUUCCUUCCUGUGUGGUUAUCUUCGACCUGCCCAUGCCUGCGCGCUGACUCUCACCUCUCCGACCUGCUCCAGCGGAAGGUUCUCUGCCCCGGGCAAAGCUAUUUGAGCAGGCCAAGAGUUGAAGAAAAAUACCAGACCAAACCAGCUCCUCCAGCAUGAAAGACAAAAGCAAGAAAAGCAAGGUGCAGGUGGGGCCUAUCCGAUCCUUUUUCUUAAUACUUGUCGGAAACCUCUAGUUUGUUGAGGCUACAUGUAGCAUGCUCUGAAUUUCUUACCCUGCUUCCAACACAUUAAAAAUGUGUAUUUAUUAAGUUAAAUACCAUCUAGGGCCACUAGAUGUCACUGCCUUCAAUCUGUUCCACAAACUGCCACUUGCUGGGAGCUGAGAAGCCGGCCAGACAUUUCAGUGCAGGAAGAGCCCUCGCGGCGACAACCGCGAAGAGGACUUCCCGCGAGUGCGUGGGGCUAGAAGCACUUCCAGUGAUUCUUUGCAAGGUUCAAAGUGAAAGUGAACAGACCAGUCAAAGGGAGCUCGCGUUCAGGUUCCUGUUAUUCGGACUAUGCUGGGCCGGGAAGGGCGCACGGAACGGGACCUAUGGCCUACAGACUCACCGCGCCCUCCGUCCCCGCCCACGCCUAGGGUACCAUCUGCCCGCCUGUGCUCUGCGCUGAGUGCCCAGCCAGCCGCAACCCCACAGAUGACCACGACGUUGACCUGCCUGUUUCCACUUUGCAGGAAAGGAGACAGAGUGAGGAGGCCAGCAACAGGCACAAGAGCUCCUUUUUGACGUGGGAUCAGGGAGGCCCCAGGUGGUGGCCGCAGAGGAGCUGUAUUCACCCUGCCUCCUAGUUGGGGCACCACACUAGUUCCAAAUGGGGGAAACUAGGGCAAGACUGGAGCUAAAGGAGCAGGGAAACCUUUGAAUCCAUAACGAAUGCUACACAACUUCCAGAGGCACAUGGCCCAACAGAAAAGCCUCAGAUGGAGUAACAUCUAAAAGGACUGAGUAUUUGGAAACGUGUUCCUUUGGGGCAAAGAUGACACCUCCUAGGUUGAUGCGUGAUUGGCAUCAGCCAGGGCCUGAAUUUAUGUUUCUUAUAAUGGUUUUAUAGUUCUUGAUUAAAUUGUGCAUUUUCUUUUUGCACUG